AACAAAAAUCCCCAGUCUUUGACUCACACCAAAAUCCCCAAAUCAGCCGCCUGACCUAGCCUCCUCCUCGAGCACCCUUCCCCCCCGCCGCCGCCUACCCUCCGCAGCUGCCGACCGCCUACCCUCCGCCACACCUGAGUGCCACCUCCCUCCCUGACCACGCCGCCCUAGUGCCAUCCCUCCCAGACCACUCCCCCGAGCACCCUCCGCCGCCCCGACGACCAUUCGCCACCAGCCCCGCCGCUCCCUGGAGAUCCUCCAUCGAGCAGCGCCGUCGCUUCCAGGAGAUCCAGCCCGAGAAGCGUCGCUGCUUCCAGGAGCUCCUGGCACGGGCAGCGUCGCUGUUUCCAGAAGCUCCGUCCCGCCACGUCUUCGUCCUCUCCCCCAAGAGCGCCGACUACAUCCUCUCCCCCGAGCAGAUGCCGCUUCUGCGUUCUUUCACACGAGCAGUGCCGCGUCGACUACAUCCCGGUCUCCUCUACUUCCUCACCCCAACCCCGUGCCUCCUCCUCAUCCUCUCCACCAAGCAGUGCUGCUUUGACUACGUCGUCUGCCCUGGGUAGCACCUCGUCUACAUCCUCGCCCAAAACUGCGUUGCCUAACUUCUAAUUCUUCGCCCAAGCAGCACCGCCUACGUCCUCUGCUUCACCGCCUGAUCAGCCCUGCCUCCUCUCCUUCUCAACCGACGAUGAGAUUUCUUUGCUAUUUCUAUCAUUCAUCCCUAGUAAUCGUGUAAUGGGCCCUGCUAUGGUGUUGAAAUUUUGCGGCUAACCUCGAUAUCUUAAUUCUCUUCAUGUUCACUUGAUUAAUUCAGUGCAUGCUAAACUAUUUUUAUGCGAGUUCUUGUGAUAAGUACUGCAUUGGAAUACGUUCUUUGCCAAAAUGUAGAGCAUGUAGACAAUUUUGUGUACAACGAGAAAUCUAUGUGCCUCUCCAAUGAUUUUUUUACCAAAUGGUACAUUUCGAAUACUUUAUUGGAUUAUAGAUGACAUUGUUGCCCAUACUCUGCUUAGAUGAUGCUAGACUCAUUGUUUGCUUUAUGACAAGUUCUUGUUCAGGCCAUUCUGCAGAAAGCCCUUUAUAUUUGACCUAAAUCCUUUCAGUAAAUAAUCCUUAUAUGCAUCUAAAUUGGUACAGCUUGAAAGAAACUAAGCGUACACUGUAAAAUUAUCUGAAUUUGUAUCAGACUGAAACAGUGCAGCCUGUUGUUUGUAUCGGUGUUGCCCUUUUCAUUAUAACUGGUUCAUAGUUUUCAAGUUUGGUUCGUAAUGACUGGUCUUUCAAAAAACUGAGCGCACAAUCCAGUGAGCAUCCAGUUUCUUGUUCGCUAAAUGCACAACAUACAAAAACUAAACAAUGGCUUAUCUAUGGACUGAAGUUGCAUGAUUCUGGUACUAAGCCGAGAGCAGACAGAGAUCAAGGCUCUUCUAAUAGUGUGUAUUCAAUGGAUUGAACGCAGGCAAGCUACCAAAGAAAAAGAGAAAGAUGCCGAGGUCCUGCGGUGGCUAGGGUUGUGCGCACUGGUGUUGCCUAUGCGAGCGACACGGGGUGAGCAACUAGGAACCAAAAGAUGCCGACAGUAUUGAGUAGUCAGAUCAGCAAACCUGUGUUGGUAGUUCCAUCACUGAAACGAGUUCAACAAGUUUUGUCUCAAGCUUGUAAGUUUUGUCACGAGGAGGAGAUUGUUAGAAUGCUACAGAACUUCUACUACAUGAUAGUAGUUGGACCAGUCAACUAGGAUGCCCACAUGAUGUUUCUUGUAUUCAUAGCAACAACAGAAUCAUGUGGGGCGAGGUUAAGCUGUGAUCUUCAAAACAUUGCAAGUUUGGUGACUCUUCUGCGAGAGACAUGUGGCCCUCUUUGAAGGAUGCAGUUUCACAGGAUGGUGGCGAGUCAGUUAUUCACAAGACAUCUAAUAAAGCCAUCCAACAAACGGCUGCGAACGAGCAAUUUGUCUUCCUGAACAUGGCUGUAGCUGUGCGUCAAGCUCAAACCAUUUGUUUAUCUUAGUUUUGAACAAAAGAAAUCUUAUUGUCUUAUGUAAAUUCUGUUUACCGAUGUAGUUGGAUGCUACCAAAUGGAUCUUUGAAUGUUGAAAUACUGAUGUUUUGAGUCAUUAUGUGUUUGAGAUCCGGUACUGAA